GAUGAACGCUGGCGGCGUGCUUAACACAUGCAAGUCGAACGAAGAAUGGCGAGCUUGCUCAACAUUCUUAGUGGCGGACGGGUGAGUAACGUGUGGGCAACCUGCCCUAUACUGGGGAAUAAUCACUGGAAACGGUGACUAAUACCGCAUGUCAUUGCGAGAGGGCAUCCUCUUGCAAGAAAAGGAAUUUAUUUCGGUAUAGGAUGGGCCCGCAUCUGAUUAGCUAGUUGGUGAGAUAACAGCCCACCAAGGCGACGAUCAGUAGCCGACCUGAGAGGGUGAUCGGCCACAUUGGGACUGAGACACGGCCCAA
rnacentral:rRNA from 1 species